ACCAGCCUGUAGGAGGAGCAGUUUAUGAUGUUGUCUAGAAGAAAUGUUUGAAACCCAAAUCAGCAAGCAAUACACUUCACAGAAUCUGGAUUGUAGUUUAAACUGCCUUCUCGUUUGAUAUACUCUUCGGUAUACAGAAAGAUUCCCUUGUAUGUGUUUGAAAAUCUGAAGAGUGGAAUAGAAACAUCUGGAAUGCCACGGAUCUUGGAUGCUGCAAUUGGCCCUCACUGUGCUGCUCGGAGACCUGGUGCUGCAAGGCUGUGGGUACUUGUGAUGAUGAGCAGGCGUCUGAGUCGGAGAACGGUGAGUGCAAAGGUUCUUUCCCGGCAACUUGCAAGAUUCCUCAGUAAGCAUCAAGAUAAGGAGCCCAGGAAAGAGAAGAUUGGCACCAUUUUCUGUUGGGAUUCGUUUUCACAUAAGGAACUAUAAGUGUGUUGAACACAUCUGUAAGCAUGACUUCUCAUCUGCACCAUUUCUCCAGGUUUCCACCUAUUUUCAUUGUAAUUCACGUGAAGGCAGAUACAGUCACUUUCUGUUGCUGAGAACAUGAAGCCUGUGACUUCUCUGCUCUUUUUGUAGUUACAAGAUCUGAUGAGAACUCAGAAAUCUCAAGUGCUUGGUAAGGAAUUUUUUCCUAUCAAGAUGAUAUUUGUCACA